GUCCACGCUGUAAACGUUGGGCGCUAGGUGUGGGGGACCUCUCCGGUUCUCUGUGCCGCAGCUAACGCAUUAAGCGCCCCGCCUGGGGAGUACGGCCGCAAGGCUAAAACUCAAAGGAAUUGACGGGGGCCCCGCACAAGCGGCGGAGCAUGCGGAUUAAUUCGAUGCAACGCGAAGAACCUUACCUGGGUUUGACAUCACGUGAAAACUCGCAGAGAUGCGGGGUCCUUCGGGGCGCGUGACAGGUGGUGCAUGGCUGUCGU
rnacentral:rRNA from 1 species